CCGUGCUAGAUGGGGAGGUAGCGGUGCCCUGUUACCCGCAAACCGCUGUAGCGGGAUUGAAUUCCUGCCCAAGGGUUGUUAUUUGUGGGGUCUGGCUAAUGUAAGUGAUGAGGAAGACUGGGUCCUGCGCAACGAAAACUCAUGAACCCCGUCAGGUCCGGAAGGAAGCAGCGGUAAGUGACUAUUUUCGUGUGCCGCAGGGUUGCCUGGUUUGAGUUAACUGCAUUGGUAACGCCUGGAAGUACAAUUCGAAGGCAGGUGCACGG
rnacentral:SRP_RNA from 1 species